UACAGAGGGUGCAAGCGUUAAUCGGAAUUACUGGGCGUAAAGCGCACGUAGGCGGUUUUUUAAGUCAGAUGUGAAAGCCCCGGGCUCAACCUGGGAAUUGCAUUUGAAACUGGAAAACUAGAGUGUGUGAGAGGGGGGUAGAAAUCCAAGUGUAGCGGUGAAAUGCGUAGAGAUUUGGAGGAAUACCAGUGGCGAAGGCGGCCCCCUGGCACAACACUGACGCUCAGGUGCGAAAGCGUGGGGAGCAAACAGG
rnacentral:rRNA from 1 species